AACGUUUGAAAAUAUGCAGUCGUGGCAGGUGCAACGUAGAACGACGCGUGUUCGCAGGGUGAGUUCGCUAUCACUCUUUCGACAAUAAAUAUCAAAUCCAUCGCGCUUCACGUGUUGAGAUAGUUGCUCUCGCGACGGUUCAAUAGUAGUUAUACUGUUGCCUUAGCUGCUUCACACGACGAACAGUGUAUCACUAUACACUAAAAUAUCGUU